AGGUGCUGAUCAAUGGAAUGUGAGUGCCUGUUGGAGACAAGAGCUCUGGGGACGAAGGGGGUCCCUUAGGAACCUCUUUAGCUCCUGACAGCCUCUUCACUGUCUUCUCGUUGCCUCAGCCUCCAGCAGGAGCAGUGGAUGAAUGUCUGUGUUGGUGAUAUUAUCAAGCUAGAAAAUAACCAGUUUGUGGCGGCGGAUCUCCUCCUCCUUUCCAGCAG
rnacentral:lncRNA from 1 species